GAAGUGUCGCAGCGCCGCGGCGGCGCAGGGAGGCGGUCGAUCGGUCGGUGUGGCCGGGCCGCCCCCGCCGCCGCCAUGGGCGCCAGCGGCUCCAAGUCGCGGGGACUGUGGCCCUUCUCCUCCCCGGCGGCGGGCGGCGGCGGCGGCGCUGAGGGUGCCGGCGGGCAGCAGGCCCUGGCCCGGGCGCGGGCCGCGCGCGCAGCCACCCCGUUCGUCUUCACACGGCGCGGCUCCAUGUACUAUGAUGAGGACGGGGAUCUCGCUCACGAGUUCUACGAGGAGACAAUCGUUACCAAGAACGGGAGGAAACGCGCCAAGCUGAAGAGGAUCCACAAGAACCUGAUACCUCAGGGUAUAGUGAAACUAGAGCAUCCUCGCAUUCAUGUGGAUUUCCCGGUGAUCAUCUGCGAGGUGUGAGCCGCCAGACGUUGCUGCCCCGCUGCCCCCGGCCUCACCAGCCUCUAGCCGACGUUUGAUGGGUAACUGGAACUGCAAACGAGCUGCUGUGUUUGAGCUGUUAAAGGGAGAGCGAGCCUGCACUUCUCACCAGAGAAAAUCCCCUGCUUCUCAGGUAUGUGGCCCAGGGAGAGCCAGGGCAAGGGAAUGUGCUGCCUGGGCCCCCGAGCUCGCUCGGGCCCACUGGAUAGAUGGCCAGUGUUGCCACGUGUCGCUUGGCACAGGUGGUAUAUGAUGCUCCCCUGGAUGGGUCCGUUGAUGGAGGAUAAACAGGGCAGGUCAAGGAGGGACUGGUCUUGAAGCACAUCUGGCUGGCUGCUGCAGUCCCCUUGGGAAGUGAACGGGGAUCAGAUGCCGCUAUCUUGGACCUCAGUCUCUUCCCCCUAUGUGUUUCCCGCUUAUGCUGGCUCUGGGGUGGGCGGCUUUGCUGCUGCCUGCGGUCACUCUGCCUGCAGGAGAUCUUCACGGUCCGUGGCUGCUGCUGGCAGCAGCAAGGUCCCCAGCUCUGCAGUGGAUUUGCCUCUCCUGUGCAAGCCAGCUCCCACUGAGCACUGUCCCUCACCUGCUGCAGGGCCAGGCCUGCUGGGCAAGGCAUCUCCUCGUAACGUCCUCACCUCUCGCUACUGUCUUGAACAAUCCUCCUGGUGGGGUGGGCUUUGACAUGGCCAAGCAGGAAGGAAAUCUUCGUUCCCCAUUCCCUGAAAACAGUCCGUCGCUGUGCCGGCCCCGGUUUGGAAAUCUCCCUGGCAAUGUGAACUACAGUUCCUCCCGCAUCCCAGCUGGUGGUAGGAGGAGAAACACGAUGCACUUUACAGGGAGGCUUUCUGCUCCGUCUCGGAAGGUCCUGCUCUUUUCUCCUCUUUCCUCUUGCUUGAGAAAGUUGAGGUCGUCUUGGCAGCACUGAAGAGACCUCUCAUCCCUGCGUGCGAGCCCUGAGGAAGGCCUGACCUGUCCUCGCCAGUGCUAGCAGCCACUGCCUCCCUGCUCUGCAGCCCCGGACCAGGCAGGUGGAGGAGGACCGGUGGUGGGCACAGCUUUAAGCAGGAGCAGAGCCUGCUCCCCGCAGCAGCUGGCUCGGCUUUCCUUCUCUUUCGUUCCAGAACUUAUUUACUUUCUAAGCACUUCAGAUGUUUGCUACCUCGAUUUUUAAUUUAAGCUGGCACUUGGCUGCCAGCCCUGUCAGCCUCUGCGUUGGAUGUAUCCAUCCCCGUGCCCACCGAGAGCUGCCCGGGCGCGGGGCCACAUUCCCGGCUUCGGGGAGAUAACAGUGGUGUGGCUGUUGCCGUCUUCCUGUCACCACCUCUUCCCUCCGCGUCCCCACCCGCUGUUCCCAUCGACAGGAGUGAGCACAGAGGGUGAAGUGGAUGUGCUGGCUGCCACCCAUCAGGGAAGCAGGAGGGCAGGGCUCCAACAGGGAUCUUGUCUACACUGUGAUGCUGGGCGCUUCUUCCGACAUCUUUUGUUCUACUGCUUGCUUGAAAGAGUCUUGUCUUAAAACAGUCCCCACUGAAGUGUUUCUUACUCGCACCACCUGCUCUCAAGUUUCUCCCGGGCCGGAUCUCCCUGGGAAAGGUGUCCCUUGGGCUCCACAAGAGAGCAGGAGCUGCUGUCCCCAGGAAGAGGAGAGGAGAGAAAGCUGUGGCCAGGCUGCCCUGCUGCUGUCCAAGAGCACGGGAAGCGGCAUCGAACCCGCCUCGGGUACAGGGAAAGGCAGAGGAGGAGUGGGGAGGGGGCUGGUGCCAUUUGCCUGCCCCAGCGGGGAGCCCCUCGCCUGGCUACCACCCAGAAAUCUGUUGGCAAGGCAGGGCCUGAACCCCGGGGAGCAGAAGAGACCGAGACCAGCUUAGCAAGCAUGCUUUUGUCCUCGCUGACAGGCUGUCCACCCUUCCCCCAGGGCAUCAAACAUGCUUCCCCCUAAAAAACACAUCUUCUCCCACCCUCCCAUGUCGCUGAGCGGCAGUGAACCUCCGCAGGCUGCUAACAAGCUGCGUCCUGCCCCGCUUCUUCCCAGGCUGGUCCCCGAGCAGCCAGCCCCGGGCCCCCCCUCCGCUGGCCUCCAGCCCUCCUGCAGCAGCAGGGCCUCGGGAGCACCUAGAGUGGUCUUAAAAAUGUGAAGGUCGCUGUAAAUAGUAUCUGUGUCCACUGUGAUGUUGGAGCAAGCAAAAAACAAAACAAAAAACAAAGGAAAGUUUUCCUUUUGGUUCUUUUCUUGGGUUUUUUUUUACGAUUUCCGUGCAACGUUGUGCUGUCCCGUGUGGAUGUGUAUCUGAACCGCACUCACUGACACUAGGCUCCUUGCUCCUCUAGCGUGUGGGUAGGACCCGAGGGUUUGGGAAACGUACACUAUUUAUGAUCCUUCCUCCCAGUGCAUCUGUCCACUUUUGUUAAAUUUCAAUAAAAUUAUUUGUAGAG
ensembl:lncRNA